CAGAGGUGAAACUUUGUAGGCGGAUGGUCCUCUGCACUGCUCUCUGCUUCUCUCGCUCCUGUUGGAGAUUGACUUUCUUCAGUCCUCUCAAGAAGUUUCCACAAAGUCUCAGGACAUAUGCUGCUUAAAGUGGCAGACAAGAAACGAAAGACAUUCCUCUUUUGAAGUGAUGGGCUGGGUUGACUCUCCAGACCCAGAGUUCAUCCCUCAUUUCCUCCGGUGACGUCGGCUCUCUGACACACACAAACGGCAGGCUGCGAUCAAAGCCCAGUUAAAGUCGCACUCCUGCAGACUCUAAUAUGAGCUCACAUGCUGGGAGGAGAUGCUGAUUGGCGGGGAUGGAGGAGGGAGGGCUGUCCCUGCUUCUUUCAUGAGAGCUUUUUGGUGGAAUGAAUUAUGAAGGAAUGGAAACUAAAGUUAAGAUAUCAAACACAUUACUGUGAGCAUGCAAUCGCAUAGAAAAGCUGUGAAGAUUCAUAAAGCAAAAGAAUAAUUUUG